GACGUAGGGGACGAGCGUUGUCCGGAUUCAUUGGGCGUAAAGCGCGCGCAGGUGGUUUCUUAAGUCUGAUGUGAAAGCCCACGGCUCAACCGUGGAGGGUCAUUGGAAACUGGGGAACUUGAGUGCAGAAGAGGAAAGUGGAAUUCCAAGUGUAGCGGUGAAAUGCGUAGAGAUUUGGAGGAACACCAGUGGCGAAGGCGACUUUCUGGUCUGUAACUGACACUGAGGCGCGAAAGCGUGGGGAGCAAACAGG
rnacentral:rRNA from 1 species